rnacentral:tRNA from 1 species
UGGCUCAGAUGGUAAAGCACCUGCCUGCAAUGCAGGAGACCCAGGUUCGAUCCCUGG